rnacentral:lncRNA from 12 species
AAGCUGUUCAACAGAUAAACUGUUGUUUAUUUUUUUUUACUGUUUAAUGUGAGCAGAUACACCAUGGUUUUUGGCCGAUAUUCCACCCAGGCAAGGACAAGAAAAAACUCCGCAGAACUGGAUGGAAUGAAGGGGUUGGAGAAUAAAGAUAUUUUUCUGGCAGAACCUGCUCGCCGCUGAAUUUGUAAUUCUCUUCUUUUUUGCAAAGAGGUCAUUAUUACUGUGAGCAUUUUUCAAUUCCGUAAGAGAAGAGAUGAGCUGCACGGUCCCUGGAAUCUCGUAAAGGCAUUUGGCCUGGAAGAUGCUCCUUGGCCGUGUGCCGAUAACAACGUAUCACAGGGGCAACUUCCAGUUUGUCUAAAAUGAGCGACUUGUAUUUUUACUGUUUAAUUUCUGCUCAAUUAUUCAAAGUUGGCUCAACGUUGGUCACAGGAUGUAGUUUAUAAAAAGGAAUUUCCAUGUCCAGGAAAGGAGGCAUGAUCAUUGAAAGGUUCACAGUAUAAAAACU